CAGCUGACAGAUUCAUUGCCGGAGGCUUUAAGCCAGUACAGAACUGAGGUGAAGCUUAGCGAGACAAGGAAAGAGGGAAGGAAAAGGAAAUAAGGUCCUUGGCCACCUACUUCACCUCCUAUCAGUACAGCAACUACAUGCUGUGUGCACAGCCCAUCAGUGUCGCCACUUAACUUUAAAUCUGAACCAAAAGGGUUUUGGGAGGUGUGCUGGUACUAAAACAGUUGACCCGACUCUCCUCUGGUUCACAGUUAUCUACAGAGUCCCCAGCAAAGAGCUUGGAGUUAAUACUCUGCUGGAACGUGAUGGCGAGCUAGUCCCAGUGGUGAA